UUCGCAAUGCCCGAAAGGGUGACGAAGCGACGCCGCGUGGGUGAGGAAGGCCUUCGGGUUGUAAAGCCCUGUCAGGAGUUAAGAAAUGUAAGUGUGCUAAUAUCGCAUUUACUUGACGAAGGCUCCAAAGGAAGUCACGGCUAACUCUGUGCCAGCAGCCGCGGUAAUACAGAGGUGGCAAGCGCUGUUCGGAAUUAUUGGGCGUAAAGAGCACGUAGGUGGGUUUGUAAGUCAGAUGUGAAAGCCUCCUGUUCAACGGGAGAAUUGCAUCUGAAACUACUGAUCUUGAGUAUAGGAGGGGAGAAUGGAACUUCUGGUGGAGCGGUGAAAUGCGUAGAUAUCAGAAGGAACGCCGGCGGCGAAAGCGAUUCUCUGGCCUAUUACUGACACUCAGUGUGCGAAAGCUAGGGGAGCAAACGGGAUUAGAUACCCCGGUAGUCCUAGCCGUAAACGAUGGGCACUAAGUAGAGGGGUUUU
rnacentral:rRNA from 1 species